GUACUUGCUUCGGCAGCACAUAUACUAAAAUUGGAACAAUACAGAGAAGUUUAGCAUGGCCCCUGCACAAGGAUGACAGGCAAAUUCGUGAAGGAUUCCAUUAAAAA